rnacentral:rRNA from 1 species
UACGUAGGGUGCGAGCGUUGUCCGGAAUUACUGGGCGUAAAGAGCUCGUAGGUGGUUUGUCGCGUUGUUCGUGAAAACCGGGGGCUUAACCCUCGGCGUGCGGGCGAUACGGGCAGACUUGAGUACUGCAGGGGAGACUGGAAUUCCUGGUGUAGCGGUGGAAUGCGCAGAUAUCAGGAGGAACACCGGUGGCGAAGGCGGGUCUCUGGGCAGUAACUGACGCUGAGGAGCGAAAGCGUGGGGGAGCGAACAGG